AUUUUAAAUCCUAGCAUGUCAUGACUGGUUUGGAAGACUAGUGAUUUUGUUGUUCUACAUUUGCAAAACAAUAAGUCACUAUCUUCCCAAAUCAUGCAUAGAUUUAGCAUCAAACUAACC
rnacentral:pre_miRNA from 9 species